rnacentral:rRNA from 1 species
GACGAACGCUGGCGGCGUGCCUAAUACAUGCAAGUCGAGCGAGACUCUUCGGAGUCUAGCGGCGGACGGGUGAGUAACACGUGGGCAACCUGCCUGUAAGACUGGGAUAACACCGGGAAACCGGUGCUAAUACCGGAUAAUCCUUUUUCUCUCAUGAGGAAAAGCUGAAAGUCGGUUUCGGCUGACACUUACAGAUGGGCCCGCGGCGCAUUAGCUAGUUGGUGAGGUAACGGCUCACCAAGGCGACGGUGCGUAGCCGACCUGAGAGGGUGAUGGGCCACACUGGGACUGAGACACGGCCCAGACUCCUACGGGAGGCAGCAGUAGGGAAUCUUCCACAAUGGACGAAAGUCUGAUGGAGCAACGCCGCGUGAGCGAUGAAGGCCUUCGGGUCGUAAAGCUCUGUUGUUAGGGAAGAACAAGUACCGGAGUAACUGCCGGUACCUUGACGGUACCUAACCAGAAAGCCACGGCUAACUACGUGCCAGCAGCCGCCGUAA